CCUACGGGUGGCAGCAGUGAGGAAUAUUGGUCAAUGGGCGCGAGCCUGAACCAGCCAAGUCGCGUGAAGGAUGACUGCCCUACGAGUUGUAAACUUCUUUUAUAAGGGAAUAAACUGAGGCACGUGUGUCUUUUUGUAUGUACCUUAUGAAUAAGGAUCGGCUAACUCCUUGCCAGCAGCCGCGGUAAUACGGAGGAUCCGAGCGUUAUCCGGAUUUAUUGGGUUUAAAGGGUGCGUAGGCGGUCUUUUAAGUCAGCGGUGAAAGUCUGAGGCUCAACCUAGGAAUUGCCUUUGAAACUGGGGGGCUAGAGAGUGUUUGAGGUAGGCGGAAGGUGGGGUGUAGCGGUGAAAGGCUUAGAGAUCACGCAGAACACCGAUUGCGAAGGCAGCUUACCAAGCCAUGACUGACGCUGAGGCACGAAAGCGUGGGGAUCAAACAGGAUUAGAUACCCGUGUAGUC
rnacentral:rRNA from 1 species